rnacentral:rRNA from 1 species
GACGAACCGUGCGAACGUUGUUCGGAAUCACUGGGCUUAAAGGGCGCGUAGGCGGGCUAUCAAGUCCGGGGUGAAAUCCUCCCGCUCAACGGGAGAACUGCCUCGGAUACUGAUGGUCUCGAGGGGGAUAGGGGCACACGGAACUGUGGGUGGAGCGGUGAAAUGCGUUGAUAUCCAUAGGAACUCCGGUGGCGAAAGCGGUGUGCUGGAUCCCUUCUGACGCUGAGGCGCGAAAGCGUGGGGAGCGAACAGG